AGGUCACACAGCCAGCGUCCAUAACCUGACCCCUAAGAGUGGAUACCAGCUGUCUGGAGUGGAUACAGAAGUGGAUUCCUUACAGCAUCGGAACUCCCGUAAGAGGAGACGUAGGAAGCACGGCUGAGGAGGAGGAGGAGGAGGAAGGGUUAGAAGAGGCAUGGAUUAAAGAGAAAAUAAAGUAAAUAAGAAAAUGAGACGAAGGGAUUGAGAGAGAGAGAGAGAGAGAGAGAGAGAGAGAGAGAGAGAGAGAGAGAGAGAGAGAGAGAGAGAGAGAGAGAGAGAGAGAU